rnacentral:rRNA from 1 species
UACGUAGGGUGCGAGCGUUGUCCGGAAUUAUUGGGCGUAAAGGGCUCGUAGGCGGUUUGUCGCGUCGGGAGUGAAAUCCACUGGCUUAACUGGUGGCUUGCUUUCGAUACGGGCAGACUGGAGGUAUGCGGGGGAGAACGGAAUUCCUGGUGUAGCGGUGAAAUGCGCAGAUAUCAGGAGGAACACCGGUGGCGAAGGCGGUUCUCUGGGCAUGUCCUGACGCUGAGGAGCGAAAGUGUGGGGAGCGAACAGG